UGAGGAAUAUUGGACAAUGGGCGCAAGCCUGAUCCAGCCAUGCCGCGUGAGUGAUGAAGGCCUUAGGGUUGUAAAGCUCUUUCACCGGUGAAGAUAAUGACGGUAACCGGAGAAGAAGCCCCGGCUAACUUCGUGCCAGCAGCCGCGGUAAUACGAAGGGGGCUAGCGUUGUUCGGAAUUACUGGGCGUAAAGCGCGCGUAGGCGGACCGUUAAGUCGGGGGUGAAAUCCCAGAGCUCAACUCUGGAACUGCCUUCGAUACUGGCGGUCUCGAGUCCGGGAGAGGUGAGUGGAAUUCCGAGUGUAGAGGUGAAAUUCGUAGAUAUUCGGAGGAACACCAGUGGCGAAGGCGGCUCACUGGCCCGGUACUGACGCUGAGGUGCGAAAGCGUGGGGAGCAAACAGGAUUAGAUACC
rnacentral:rRNA from 1 species